rnacentral:snRNA from 1 species
AUACUUACCUGGCAGGGGAGAUACCAUGAUCACGAAGGUGAUUUUCCCAGGGCGAGGCUUAUCCAUUGCACUCGUAGAUACCUAGAAACUCAGUGAAGAAAUCAUUUUGGGGAGACAUUUCUGGUUAAAAAUCAUAGAUAUUCGGGGGUCUGACAUAUGGUAGGCUGCCAGU